AGUGAACGCUGGCGGUAGGCCUAACACAUGCAAGUCGAACGGCAGCACAGUAAGAGCUUGCUCUUACGGGUGGCGAGUGGCGGACGGGUGAGGAAUACAUCAGCAUCUACUUUUUCGUGGGGGAUAACGUAGGGAAACUUACGCUAAUACCUCAUACGACCUACGGGUGAAAGCAGGGGAUCUUCGGACCUUGCGCGAUUGAAUGAGCCGAUGUCGGAUUAGCUAGUUGGCGGGGUAAAGGCCCACCAAGGCGACGAUCCGUAGCUGGUCUGAGAGGAUGAUCAGCCACACUGGAACUGAGACACGGUCCAGACUCCUACGGGAGGCAGCAGUAGGGAAUAUUGGACAAUGGGCGCAAGCCUGAUCCAGCCAUACCGCGUGGGUGAAGAAGGCCUUCGGGUUGUAAAGCCCUUUUGUUGGGAAAGAAAAGCAGCAGGUUAAUACCCCGCUGUUCUGACGGUACCCAAAGAAUAAGCACCGGCUAACUUCGUG
rnacentral:rRNA from 1 species